rnacentral:rRNA from 1 species
CCUACGGGAGGCAGCAGUGAGGAAUAUUGGUCAAUGGGCGGGAGCCUGAACCAGCCAAGUCGCGUGAGGGACGACGGUCCUAUGGAUUGUAAACCUCUUUUGUCGGGGAACAAAGGCGCCCACGGGUGGGCGGAUGAGUGUACCCGAAGAAAAAGCAUCGGCUAACUCCGUGCCAGCAGCCGCGGUAAUACGGAGGAUGCGAGCGUUAUCCGGAUUUACUGGGUGUAAAGGGCGUGCAGCCGGGAAGACAAGUCAGAUGUGAAAUCCCGCGGCUCAACCGCGGAACUGCAUUUGAAACUGUUUUUCUUGAGUACCGGAGAGGUCAUCGGAAUUCCUUGUGUAGCGGUGAAAUGCGUAGAUAUAAGGAAGAACACCAGUGGCGAAGGCGGAUGACUGGACGGCAACUGACGGUGAGGCGCGAAAGCGUGGGGAGCAAACAGGAUUAGAUACCCCAGUAGUC